rnacentral:lncRNA from 1 species
ACUUCCGUCGAACUCUCGAACUCCCAACGUGAUCAUUGUCUUGACUCCGGCGCAACUCCUGCUGCAUGUCUUUCUUCCAUCGUAGUUAAUCCUACACACUUAAAACAAAACUUCGAUCGAGACAAUUAAUCCUAAGCAAUUAACCAAGUUGUCCGGCAUGUCAUUGGUCCCUCGACGCUUCGUCCGAUUCUUCGGCACAUCGUCCU